rnacentral:rRNA from 1 species
CAGCAGCCGCGGUAAUACGUAGGGUGCAAGCGUUAUCCGGAAUUAUUGGGCGUAAAGAGCUCGUAGGCGGUUUGUCGCGUCUGCUGUGAAAACUGGAGGCUCAACCUCCAGCCUGCAGUGGGUACGGGCAGACUAGAGUGCGGUAGGGGAGAUUGGAAUUCCUGGUGUAGCGGUGGAAUGCGCAGAUAUCAGGAGGAACACCGAUGGCGAAGGCAGAUCUCUGGGCCGUAACUGACGCUGAGGAGCGAAAGCGUGGGGAGCGAACAGGAUUAGAUACCCGCGUAGUCCCUGUCUCUUAUAC